rnacentral:rRNA from 1 species
GAGUUUGAUCCUGGCUCAGAACGUACGCUGGCGGCACGCCUAACACAUGCAAGUCGAACGAAGUAGCAAUACUUAGUGGCAGACGGGUGAGUAACAUGUAGGUAUCUGCCCUUUGGCCUGGAAUAACACGAGGAAACUUGUGCUAAUACCGGAUAAGUCUUUACGGAGAAAGCUUUAUGCACCAUUGGAUGAGCCUGCACUUGAUUAGUUUGUUGGUAGGGUAAUGGCCUACCAAGACUGUGAUCAAUAGCUGAUUUGAGAGGAUGAUCAGCCACAUUGGGACUGAGACACGGCCCAAACUCCUACGGGAGGCAGCAGUGGGGAAUCUUGCACAAUGGAGGAAACUCUGAUGCAGCGAUGCCGCGUGAGUGAAGAAGGCCCUUGGGUUGUAAAGCUCUUUCGUCGGGGAAGAAAAUGACUGUACCCGAAUAAGAAGGUCCGGCUAACUUCGUGCCAGCAGCCGCGGUAAUACGAAGGGACCUAGCGUAGUUCGGAAUUACUGGGCUUAAAGAGUUCGUAGGUGGUUGAAAAAGUUGGUGGUGAAAUCCCAGAGCUUAACUCUUGAACUGCCAUCAAAACUUUUCAGCUAGUGUAUGAUAGAGGAAAUCAGAAUUUCUAGUGUAGAGGUGAAAUUCGUAGAUAUUAGAAAGAAUACCAAUUGCGAAGGCAGUUUUCUGGAUCAUUACUGACACUGAGGAACGAAAGCAUGGGUAGCGAAGAGGAAUGAUACCCUCGUAGUCCAUGCCGUAAACGCUGUGAGUUAGACGUUGGAAAUUUUAUUUUUCAGUGUCGCAGCGAAAGCGAUGAACACACCGCCUGGGGAGUACGACCCGCAAGGUUAAAACUCAAAUGAAUUGACGGGACCCGCACAAGUAGUGGAGCAUGUGGUUUAAUUCGAAGAUACGCGCUUAACCUUCCCAACACUUGACAUGUUCCUCGAGACUUUAAGAGAUUAAAGUUUUCGGUUCGGCCGGACGAAACACAGGUGCUGCAUGGCUGUCGUCAGCUCGUGUCGUGAGAUGUUGGGUUAAGUCCCGCAACGAGCGCAACCCUCACUUUUAGUUGCCAUCAUUAAGUUGGGCACUCUGAAAGAACUCCCAGUUAUAAGCUGGAGGAAGGUGGGGAUGUCGUCAAGUCCUCAUGGCCCUUACGUGUUGGGCUACACACGUGUUACAAUGGUAUUUACAACAGGAAGCAAGACUGUGAAGUUAAGCAAAUCCCUAAAAGAUACCUCAGUUCGGAUUGCACUCUGCAACUCGAGUGCACGUAGCUGGAAUUACUAGUAAUCGUGGAUCAGCGUGCCACGGUGAAUGCGUUCCCGGGUCUUGUCCACCCCGCCCGUCACACCAUGGGAGUUGGUUCUACCUUAAGGCAAGGUUUAAAACCCUUGACCCCGGUAUAGUCAGCGACUUGGGUGCCUCGUCCAAUGUAACCAAGGGCGAAUCUGCAUAUAUCCCCACACGGCGGCCGCUGGAGCAUGCAUAUAG